GCUUGUGAGGAAAAUAGAUUUUGUCUCCAAUUGUACCUGUUGGCGAGGAAUUUUUUUUUUCAUCACCAAUUAAGAGGACAGACAAAUUUAAGGUGAGGAAAUUUUACUUUGUCACCAAAAAUAGUUAAUUAGUGAGGAAAAUAUAAAUUUCAUCACCUAAAGGAUGACAAAAUAAAUAUAAGGUGAUGAAAUAUUUUUUUUCGUCACCAAUUUGUUCCCUUCAUUAUCUGCACAGAUGCUUACAACCAACACAUGACAAAUUAGUUCCUCACAAAAGUAAAGGGUUUGGGUGAGAAAUUUUUUUUGUCGUCGUUGAGGGGGGAUUUUGGUGGGUGAAAAGGGUGUUGAAAAUUUUGGGCGUUGAUCCCAAAAUUUUGGGUGCUGAAAAGCCCCUUGUUCGUUCUAAUUUUUUACACCAAACCCCAUCGCCGUCUCUCACACCGCACCCCACUCCAUCUCUGCAACUCCAUCACUCCCACCACUCCCCCCGCCAUCUCUGCAACUCCGAAUCUCUCUCUCAAGCGGCAUCAUCAUUCAUCAAUUUCUGAUUCUGUUCAUAGUUACGCAAAAUGUCCAAAGGAGGAAACGUGUUGCUCCAACCUAGUUUUCUAUCAACUCAUUUCAUACCAGAUUAUGGGAGGAAAAGAAAUGAGAACAUAAAGAGGAACAAUAAGAUUUGUGAAUCUCAUGGGGUGAAAAGUAUUGCAACCCCUUAUGUGGGAUCGGUUCAGCAGCGCAAACGUGUUACUGCUGAAAAUGGAAAGCGUACUAGGGUUGAGUUGGAGGAUGAUGGAAAUAGACUUUCAUGUGAUGAGGAUGACCCUAGCCAUGACAGUGAGUCGGUUGACUCUUUUGAGCAGGUACAAUAUAUAAGUACACG